rnacentral:rRNA from 1 species
UACGUAGGGUGCGAGCGUUAAUCGGAAUUACUGGGCGUAAAGCGUGCGCAGGCGGAUUGUUAAGCAAGACGUGAAAUCCCCGGGCUUAACCUGGGAAUGGCGUUUUGAACUGGCAGUCGAGAGUGUGUCAGAGGGGGGUAGAAGUCCACGUGGAGCAGUGAAAUGCGGAGAGCGGUGGAGGAAUACCAAUGGCGAAGGCAGCCCCCUGGGAUAACACUGACGCUCAUGUACGCAAGCGUGGGUAGCCAACAGGAUUAGAUACCCGCGUAGUCC